CAGCAGCCGCGGUAAUACGAAGGGUGCAAGCGUUACUCGGAAUUACUGGGCGUAAAGCGUGCGUAGGUGGUGGUUUAAGUCCGUUGUGAAAGCCCUGGGCUCAACCUGGGAAUUGCAGUGGAUACUGGGUCACUAGAGUGUGGUAGAGGAUAGUGGAAUUUCCGGUGUAGCAGUGAAAUGUGUAGAGAUCGGAAGGAACAUCUGUGGCGAAGGCGACUAUCUGGGCCAACACUGACACUGAGGCACGAAAGCGUGGGGAGCAAACAGGAUUAGAUACCCGGGUAGUCCCUGUCUCUUAUAC
rnacentral:rRNA from 1 species